rnacentral:rRNA from 1 species
GCUUAACACAUGCAAGUCGAACGGAAAGGCCCUGCUUUUGUGGGGUGCUCGAGUGGCGAACGGGUGAGUAACACGUGAGUAACCUGCCCUUGACUUUGGGAUAACUUCAGGAAACUGGGGCUAAUACCGGAUAGGAGCUCCUGCUGCAUGGUGGGGGUUGGAAAGUUUCGGCGGUUGGGGAUGGACUCGCGGCUUAUCAGCUUGUUGGUGGGGUAGUGGCUUACCAAGGCUUUGACGGGUAGCCGGCCUGAGAGGGUGACCGGCCACAUUGGGACUGAGAUACGGCCCAGACUCCUACGGGAGGCAGCAGUGGGGAAUAUUGCACAAUGGGCGGAAGCCUGAUGCAGCAACGCCGCGUGCGGGAUGACGGCCUUCGGGUUGUAAACCGCUUUCGCCUGUGACGAAGCGUGAGUGACGGUAAUGGGUAAAGAAGCACUGGCUAACUACGUGCCAGCAGCCGCGGUGAUACGUAGGGUGCGAGCGUUGUCCGGAUUUAUUGGGCGUAAAGGGCUCGUAGGUGGUUGAUCGCGUCGGAAGUGUAAUCUUGGGGCUUAACCCUGAGCGUGCUUUCGAUACGGGUUGACUUGAGGAAGGUAGGGGAGAAUGGAAUUCCUGGUGGAGCGGUGGAAUGCGCAGAUAUCAGGAGGAACACCAGUGGCGAAGGCGGUUCUCUGGGCCUUUCCUGACGCUGAGGAGCGAAAGCGUGGGGAGCGAACAGGCUUAGAUACCCUGGUAGUCCACGCUGUAAACGGUGGGUACUAGGUGUGGGGUCCAUUCCACGGGUUCCGUGCCGUAGCUAACGCUUUAAGUACCCCGCCUGGGGAGUACGGCCGCAAGGCUAAAACUCAAAGGAAUUGACGGGGCCCCGCACAAGCGGCGGAGCAUGCGGAUUAAUUCGAUGCAACGCGUAGAACCUUACCUGGGUUUGACAUGGAUCGGGAGUGCUCAGAGAUGGGUGUGCCUCUUUUGGGGUCGGUUCACAGGUGGUGCAUGGCUGUCGUCAGCUCGUGUCGUGAGAUGUUGGGUUAAGUCCCGCAACGAGCGCAACCCUUGUUCACUGUUGCCAGCACGUUAUGGUGGGGACUCAGUGGAGACCGCCGGGGUCAACUCGGAGGAAGGUGGGGAUGACGUCAAGUCAUCAUGCCCCUUAUGUCCAGGGCUUCACGCAUGCUACAAUGGCUGGUACAGAGAGUGGCGAGCCUGUGAGGGUGAGCGAAUCUCGGAAAGCCGGUCUCAGUUCGGAUUGGGGUCUGCAACUCGACCUCAUGAAGUCGGAGUCGCUAGUAAUCGCAGAUCAGCAACGCUGCGGUGAAUACGUUCCCGGGGCUUGUACACACCGCCCGUCAAGUCAUGAAAGUUGGUAACACCCGAAGCCGGUGGCUUAACCGUUGUGGGGGAGCCGUCGAAGGUGGGACUGGUGAUUAGGACUAAGUG